rnacentral:rRNA from 1 species
UACGAAGGGUGCAAGCGUUAAUCGGAAUUACUGGGCGUAAAGGGUGCGUAGGCGGUUCGUUAAGUCUGUUGUGAAAUCCCCGGGCUCAACCUGGGAAUGGCAAUGGAUACUGGCGAGCUAGAGUGUGUCAGAGGAUGGUGGAAUUCCCGGUGUAGCGGUGAAAUGCGUAGAGAUCGGGAGGAACACCAGUGGCGAAGGCGGCCUUCUGGACCAAUACUGACGCUCAUGCACGAAAGCGUGGGGAGCAAACAGG